GGCCCAGUAGUGAGAGCCUAUCACAGGCAGUACUGGACGGAGUCCACGCCCUGGAAAGCCACAGUGCCUAACCGUACAGAUGAUCAGAAGGCCCUGCUGGUGGAUGGGGCAAAUGGUAUUGGUGCUCUGAAGGUGUGUGAGAUGGAGACCUACCUAAAGAAAGAGCUGCAGCUGUCCCUCUUCAACAACGGCUCCAGCGGAAAACUCAACCACCUGUGUGGAGCCGACUACGUCAAAGUACAACAAAGCUCCCAUAGGUGUGGAGAUGAGUGCAGGGGAGCGUUGCUGUUCGUAUGAUGGUGAUGCUGAUCGUAUUGUUUAUUACUACUGCGACUCAGCAGGGAGAUUUCACCUGCUAGACAGGAGACAAGAUUGCCACCCUCAUCAGCACAUACCUCAAAGAACUGCUUACACAGGCUGGUCUUGACCUACAAAUAGCCGUAGUACAGGUGGCAUACGCUAACGGCAGCUCUACACACUACCUGGAAGACACCAU